GCUGCUGCCCCACAAACUUCACCCACAGCAACCAUGACUUUGGUCUCCAUCUUCAUCUGGACGCUCACCCUCUGGACUCGAGGAUCCAGUGGUCAUGUGACUGUGACUCAGACUCCUGUAAUUUAUGCACUUCCAAAAGAAACUGUUCACAUCAACUGUAGAAUCAGCACUGCAGUUUAUCACGACCAUGCCUGGGGUUACCGUUUAGCCUGGCAUCAGCUGAAACCUGGAGGAGCUCCCAAACUCCUGAUCUAUUCUGCAGACCUACGUGCGGAUGGUGUUCCAGAUCGUUUCAGUGGCAGUGGAUCUGGAUCUGACUUCACUCUGACCAUCAGUAAUGUCCAGACUGAUGAUGCAGGAGAUUAUUACUGUCAGAGUAUACAUAAGAUCAGUGGUAGCUGGGUGUGGACUUUUGGUGGAGGAACCAAACUGUCAGUUGGAAGUUUGGCCGCGCCCACCCUCACGGUCCUGCCCCCCUCCAGCGUGGAGCUGCAGCAGGGGAAGGCCACACUCGUGUGUUUGGCCAACAAGGGCUUCCCCUCAGACUGGAGGCUGAGCUGGAAGGUGGACGGGAGCAGCUGGAGCUCGGGGGUUAGCCAGAGCCCCGGGCUUCUGCAGAAGGACGACGGCCUCUACAGCUGGAGCAGCACCCUGACCCUCCAGGAGGACCAGUGGCUAAAGAAGACAGUGACCUGUGAGGCCACCAAGGACUCCCAGCCUCCGGUCAGCCAAACCCUGAGGAGAGAGCAUUGCACUGGGCAGUGAGCGUCCAUGCAUGUGUUGGAGCUGCUAGAGCUCCUCUUGGUCUUCAGUGAGCUCAAACAUGGCUCUGCUUAAUGCUCUGAUCUUCAUCUAAUCAUUUCAGCAUCACAAUAAAGAGUUUCAGUAUUAAUAUCUACAGCCUUUCCUUGUUUAUGUUUUUUUCCUUUUCUGCUACAGCAACAAUAAACAUGUAAACUGUUCUUUGAUCUCUUA